GUAACCUGCCUGUAAGACUGGGAUAACUCCGGGAAACCGGGGCUAAUACCGGAUACUUGUUUGAACCGCAUGGUUCAAACAUAAAAGGUGGCUUCGGCUACCACUUACAGAUGGACCCGCGGCGCAUUAGCUAGUUGGUGAGGUAAUGGCUCACCAAGGCAACGAUGCGUAGCCGACCUGAGAGGGUGAUCGGCCACACUGGGACUGAGACACGGCCCAGACUCCUACGGGAGGCAGCAGUGGUCAUAGCU
rnacentral:rRNA from 1 species